CCUACGGGUGGCAGCAGUGGGGAAUAUUGGACAAUGGGCGAAAGCCUGAUCCAGCAAUGCCGCGUGAGUGAUGAAGGCCCUAGGGUUGUAAAGCUCUUUUACCCGGGAUGAUAAUGACAGUACCGGGAGAAUAAGCCCCGGCUAACUCCGUGCCAGCAGCCGCGGUAAUACGGAGGGGGCUAGCGUUGUUCGGAAUUACUGGGCGUAAAGCGCACGUAGGCGGCUUUGUAAGUUAGAGGUGAAAGCCCGGGGCUCAAACCCGGAAUAGCCUUUAAGACUGCAUCGCUUGAAUCCGGGAGAGGUGAGUGGAAUUCCGAGUGUAGAGGUGAAAUUCGUAGAUAUUCGGAAGAACACCAGUGGCGAAGGCGGCUCACUGGACCGGUAUUGACGCUGAGGUGCGAAAGCGUGGGGAGCAAACAGGAUUAGAUACCCCUGUAGUC
rnacentral:rRNA from 1 species